rnacentral:misc_RNA from 1 species
CGAGAAAGGCGGUGCACACAGCACACGCGCGCGCGCACACACACACACACACGCAACCACACACGUGCCAACCACUGCGCAUGCCACCGCCGUCGAAUCAGUUUCUCGUAGGGCAGCGCGCGCGGCGGCUGCACGUCAACCGCGUCUCCGGGUUCUUCUUUGCGCAGCUGGACAAGGGCUUUGCCUCCCCGUACGUGCUGCUCGCCUCCGGCGUAUUCUUCUCGUACUUGGCAUGGCAGGUGACGGAGCACUACGUCCGGCCACGCCAGGAGCAGCUGGCGCGGCGCCGCCUAGUUCAGCGCGUCCCGUUCGAGUCGUCGCACAACGUGUUCUGGGGCCUUGCCAACCCCGGCGAGGCCGGCGUUUCCGCUGCCGCCGGCCGUGCAGCAGAUGUCGAGGACGUUGCGAGCAACUUGUUCCUGCCGCAGUCGGUGAACAAAGGGCAGGAAGAGGCGAUGCGCCGCCCGCAGCUGCUCUUCAGCGAGGCGAGCGAGUUGCAAGAGCGGCCGUCUGCGGCUAAUCCCUCUGGCGAGGUGGACGUUGUCUGCCUCGAACUCUCUGAGUUCUCCCCCACGCUGCGCGACGACGUCUACUACCGCAGCGUGCACUACGUUCCGGCACAGGGUAGCUCAGCUGCGGCCUCUUCGACGGAGUAUCAAGGGUCCUGGCCGAAGGGGUCGAAGCAGGUGAGUAGCAGCAGCGACUCGAGCGAGAAGUCGAUGAUGAGCUCCAGCGAGGUGGCGGCGACUUGUUCGGCUGCGUCCGCCGCCUCAUCGGGCACUGCAUCUAUACCGACCACAGCGGAAGUAGAGAAGGUUACGCCAGCUACGGACUACCUCCAGUUUAUGCCUGGCCAAGGCGAGGAGGUGAUACAUGGCAUGAUCAAGUGCAAAGGCGUAACGACACAGAACAACUGCGUCCCCUACGCCGGCCACCUCGAGGGGGAGUACGCGCGCAAGCUCAUGCUAACCCUCGGGCCUGUGCACAUCCUGCGCGACGCCACCCAAACGAUCUUGCCGCGGCGCUUCUCUUUUGUAAAGCAGGUACCCGUCGAGACGCUGGUACUCGGUAUGCACUCGGGCGAGAUGCCACGGUGGCUAAGCACGUGCUACCCGAAUUUCAACGUGCAUGUGGUGGAGAAGGAUGGCACACUGGUGCGGCUGUGCAAGCGGUUUUUGGGUUUUCAGGAGUCGAGCAACCUCACGGUGCACGUCGACGACCCUGUCGAGUACGUGCGACGCCAGGCCGUCAUGACAGCCUACGGCAACACGACCGACAGCGAGGUCAAGCCAUACGAGUUGGUGCUGAUUGAUGCGAUGGACGGUGCGGGGCGGCUAAGCACACAAUACGGCCGCCUGGAGUUCAUCAGUAACAUCCGCCGCAUCAUGAGCAACAACGGUUGUAUCGCCGUCACUCUCCCGAACAAGGAUGCUGGGUUUGUCUUCAACAUGGUGCAGAACUGGCGCAUGGCGUUUGCAGGGCGGCCAGUGGUGCUGGUGCACUGCGUGACGUCGCCCUGCACGAUCCUCAUGACAUUCCAGGAUACCGCCACGCGUGGCAAGGCGAAUAUCGGCAGCGUCGCCAAGGUGGAGGAGUUUCAGGAUGUGCUACGGGAGCACAUUCGGCAUUACGGCGCAGACCGCGUGCAGUUCGACAUCACGCGUGAGGUGAGCGCGUCCAACUUCAGCGUGCUGAACCCGGAGCAGACGUACGGGAUAGAGGCGUACCUGCCUGCCGGCCACCCCGCGAUCCUUGCGGCGAGGCGCCAGGAGGUGCAGGAAGCGAUGCUGCGCAAGAGUCGUAGCCAAGGCUGGGGAGCGUGGUUGCGCCGCAUAACCAGAACAGCACUCUCGGCAAGUCAGCGCAGCGAUCUUGAUGACCACUGAGGAGGUACCGAGGCGCAUAUAUGUGUGUGUGUGUGCACGUGCCUCAGUGCGGGAGUGGGGUUGGUGGAGUAGGAGAUGAGUAAGGUGCGUAUCCAUUCUGCAUCUCCUACGCAGACGGAGCCUUUUCCACCAACAUCCGCCUUUUUCGAUUCCGGCUGCAGUGCAGCCAUUUCUGCUCGGUGUCUCCUCCCUCUCUGCGUGUCUGCCAGGUUCUCAUUCGCGCUCUAUCGACUCUAUGUCUUACUCCUUUGGUGUCGCUUCUAGGAGGAGAACGUGUCUGUGCGCUUCCUCUUUUGUUAUUCAUGUUGGAAGAGCUGCGUGCGCACAUGCACGUGUGCAUAGGUGUAUGUGUGUGCCUCAGAGAGAAAG